UUGGCAGCUCUGGAAAAUUAAGUUUAUUUAUCUACAGACUAGGUAACCGCGCAAACAGUACAGACUUCCCCAUACCACCCUAUCAGUGUGCCUCAAGAGCAACCUGGAGAGACCAUCUUUAGGAGUAAAAUGAUAGCUUAGUCUCCAUGUAAAUAGAGGUCCAGAUCUAGCAAAAC
rnacentral:sRNA from 1 species